GAUGAAGAACGUAGUGAAAUGCGAUACGUAAUGUGAAUUGCAGAAUUCAGUGAAUCAUCGAGUCUUUGAACGCACAUUGCGCCACCUGGUAAUCCGGGGGGCAUGCCUGUCCGAGCGUCAUUGCUGCCCUCAAGCACGGCUUGUGUGUUGGGCCUCCGUCCUCCUCCCGGGGGACGGGCCCGAAAGGCAGCGGCGGCACCGCGUCCGGUCCUCGAGCGUAUGGGGCUUCGUCACCCGCUCUUGUAGGCCCGGCCGGCGCUUGCCGACACAUCAAUCUUUUUUCCAGGUUGACCUCGGAUCAGGUAGGGAUACCCGCUGAACUUAAGCAUAUCAAUAAGCGGAGGA
rnacentral:misc_RNA from 1 species